CUCUCCUCCCUCAUCACAGCAACAAGAAACCAUCAAACACGUAAGGAGAAAAACAACACCGGACUUGUGGAAGAAAGACGUUUUUCUGCAUAAAACUGUCUCCUGACCACUGACACAUGAGUCUUCAAAAGAUGAGAACAUUUUUCAGUUUUUCCAAUUUUGUGUGGUCCUUGAAUGCAUCCCAGCAUGUUUCUCUCAUCUUCAGGCCUGUGAGGCCCAAACCAACACAACAAGGUGUGUUUGUUUCACCGGUUCAGUUGAUCUCAUCCAUCUUCAUGAGGAGCUUUAAAAGUCCCUCCUAAAGGUAGAUCUACCAACAAAACAGCAGAGGCAACACCAGAGCACUGGGAAGAUUCAACCAGACACCAACUGACAUCAUCACACACUCAAGACCUUUUUCCAUCAAGUAGUGAACAGUCGCAACCAGAUUCCAAGUGAACCUCAACACCAGCAUUCCCA